rnacentral:misc_RNA from 1 species
GUUGCACCAUUUUAUAUUUUCUUUUGGGCUUUUGGUUAGAUUGGUUCUUCAUCAACUAGAAGUAAAUGAGGAAUCCAUCAUUAUUGUGAUGGUUUCGAGUGUAGACUUUAGCAUGAGAAGUAGUUGCAAUGUCACCAUCAUUUAUUGCCAAACAAGAAAGAGCAUUACAUGAAUGUCCUUUUCGACUCACUUCACUUUUUCUAAUAUUUUUGUAAUAUGGACAACCUUGUAAUUGCAUGCAUUCAUGAACACAUGAUGUACUUGCUUCUGCUUGCUAUCCUUGUAUUGGAAAUGCAGCUUCCUACCCAAUUUGAGUAUUAGACUUGUAUCCCACCUUUACCUCAUCUCACACUUAAAUCUUUGGCAGGUUUGGCUUU